UGCCAGCAGCCGCGGUAAUACGGAGGGUGCGAGCGUUGUUCGGAAUGACUGGGCGUAAAGGGCGCGUAGGCGGUUUUGUUAGUCAGGCGUGAAAGCCCCGGGCUCAACCCGGGAACUGCGUUUGAUACUGCAAGACUUGAGGACGGAGGAGGAAAGUGGAAUUCCUAGUGUAGAGGUGAAAUUCGUAGAUAUUAGGAGGAACACCAGAGGCGAAGGCGGCUUUCUGGGUCGAUAUUGACGCUGAUGAACGAAAGCUAGGGUAUCAAACGGGAUUAGAUA
rnacentral:rRNA from 1 species